rnacentral:rRNA from 1 species
UACAGAGGGUGCAAGCGUUAAUCGGAAUUGCUGGGCGUAAAGCGCACGUAGGCGGUUUUUUAAGUCAGAUGUGAAAGCCCCGGGCUCAACCUGGGAAUUGCAUUUGAAACUGGGAAACUAGAGUGUGUGAGAGGGGGGUAGAAUUCCAAGUGUAGCGGUGAAAUGCGUAGAGAUUUGGAGGAAUACCAGUGGCGAAGGCGGCCCCCUGGCACAACACUGACGCUCAGGUGCGAAAGCGUGGGGAGCAAACAGG